ensembl:rRNA 5S_rRNA 5S ribosomal RNA
AUCUAUAGCCAUAUCACCAUGAAUGUGCCCUAUCUCAUCUGCUUUUGUGAACCUAAGCAGGGUCAGGCGUGGUUAGUGCUUGGAUGGGAGAGCUUAUGGGAAUACCAGGUGCCAUAGGCU